rnacentral:rRNA from 1 species
UGUACCGCUGGCGGCAUGCCUAACACAUGCAAGUCGAACGGUAACAGGCCGCUGGGAUCCCUUCGGGGUGACCUUGGCGCUGACGAGUGGCGGACGGGUGAGUAAUGCGUAGGAAUUUACCUCAAAGUGGGGGAUAGCCCGGAGAAAUCCGGAUUAAUACCGCAUGCGCUCUACGGAGCAAAGCGGGCCUCUUCUUGAAAGCUCGCGCUUUGAGAUAAGCCUACGUCGGAUUAGCUUGUUGGUGGGGUAAAGGCCUACCAAGGCGACGAUCCGUAGCUGGUUUGAGAGGAUGAUCAUGCCACACUGGGACUGAGACACGGCCCAGACUCCUACGGGAGGCAGCAGUGGGGAAUAUUGGACAAUGGGCGCAAGCCUGAUCCAGCAAUGCCGCGUGUGUGAAGAAGGCCUGCGGGUUGUAAAGCACUUUUAUCAGGAAAGAAAAUCACAGGGUUAAUACCCCUGUGCCUUGACGGUACCUGAUGAAUAAGCACCGGCUAACUCCGUGCCA